CAAUAAGCGGAGGAAAAGAAACCAACAGGGAUUGCCCUAGUAACGGCGAGUGAAGCGGCAACAGCUCAAAUUUGAAAUCUGGCGCAAGCCCGAGUUGUAAUUUGUAGAGGAUGCUUCUGGGCAGCGGCCGUUCUAAGUUCCUUGGAACAGGACGUCAUAGAGGGUGAGAAUCCCGUAUGUGACCGGCACGUACCCUCCACGUAGCUCCUUCGACGAGUCGAGUUGUUUGGGAAUGCAGCUCUAAAUGGGAGGUAAAUUUCUUCUAAAGCUAAAUACCGGCCAGAGACCGAUAGCGCACAAGUAGAGUGAUCGAAAGAUGAAAAGCACUUUGGAAAGAGAGUUAAAAAGCACGUGAAAUUGUUGAAAGGGAAGCGCUUACAACCAGACUUCGUGGCGGUGUUCCGCCGGUCUUCUGACCGGUCUACUCGCCGCCGCGAGGCCAGCAUCGUCUGGGGCCGCCGGAUAAGACCUUGGGAAUGUAGCUUGCCUCGGUAAGUGUUAUAGCCCAUGGUGAUGCGGCGUGCCUCGGGCGAGGUCCGCGCUUCGGCAAGGAUGCUGGCGUAAUGGUUGUCAGCGGCCCG
rnacentral:rRNA from 1 species